rnacentral:rRNA from 1 species
AUUGAACGCUGGCGGCAUGCCUAACACAUGCAAGUCGAACGGCAGCACGGGGGCAACCCUGGUGGCGAGUGGCGGACGGGUGAGGAAUGCAUAGGAAUCUGCCCAGUUGUGGGGGAUAACGUAGGGAAACUUACGCUAAUACCGCAUACGACCUACGGGUGAAAGAGGGGGACCUUCGGGCCUCUCGCGAUUGGAUGAGCCUAUGCCGGAUUAGCUAGUUGGCGGGGUAAAGGCUCACCAAGCCAACGAUCUGUAGCUGGUCUGAGAGGACGACCAGCCACACUGGAACUGAGACACGGUCCAGACUCCUACGGGAGGCAGCAGUGGGGAAUUUUGGACAAUGGGCGCAAGCCUGAUCCAGCCAUUCCGCGUGCAGGAUGAAGGCCUUCGGGUUGUAAACUGCUUUUGUACGGAACGAAACGGCGAGCUCUAAUACAGUUUGCUAAUGACGGUACCGUAAGAAUAAGCACCGGCUAACUACGUG